GCAGAUCUGUUUACUGUCUGGACUGCAAUGCACCAAUGGAAAGACAGAGAAGCCUGAAGAACGUGUCCAAGGUCAAGGUCGCUGGGAUACUGAACUGCAGAGCUGGGGCUCAGCACCUUUUCUGUAACACUGCAUCGCUCUUCUGUAACACUGUAUCGCUGUUCUGUAUCAUUGUAACACUGUCCUCUACUCAAAGGGUCGCCUACCUUUCAGGCUGAUGUGAUCAUUCCUCUGCCGAAGGGAUCACUUCAGGUGUGCCGCCCUUCCCGGUGUGUACACCUCUAGAUGGUAAAGUUCGGUGCUC
rnacentral:lncRNA from 1 species